rnacentral:lncRNA from 1 species
CCUGCCGGCGAAGAGGAGUUUGUAAAACUAAAAUAGUUACCGAUCAAGCCAAGACUCGAGUAAUCUUUUAUUCCAGUGACCAUACGCAUGCCGGUGACCCCACCAAGAUAAACGUGCUUCGGGAUCGUCAUUAGAUGAAGGAAAAGGCUGUGGAAGGCCGUCUAGCACCGCACGAAAUACUUCUGAAUGCGGGUGCCUGUGUCAGUGAUGACACCGCAUCGCAGAUUCCCGCACCGACCACACUUCGGCGCACAAUCCGCAAGCAAAGGCAGCGGGCGAAUUUCGAGUAUAGCGUACCAUCUUCCAGAGCCGAGAUACGAAUGCGCACAGAGGUUUAGGUAAAGUGUAUUGCAGCGCAACUUCCCAGUGCGCGACAUAUUAGGACAAUAGUGACUGUUUAGCCUGCAUGCAGACCACAGUCAAAGGAGAUUCUUUUCUCCUCCACUACAGCGGAGAGAGCGAUAGCGAAAGGAUCAAGAUCUCUGCUACCAAGCGCAACUUGAGUUGUCAGGCUCAGGCGUCUACGUGGUUUGCGGACGGGACCUUUAAAGUCACCCCGGCACAGUUUUACCAACUGUAAACGGUGCAUGCCACAGUCAAUGGCGUGUUAGUGCCAAGGGUUUAUAGCUUACUGCCAACAAAUCUGAAGCUACCUACAGAAGGUUUUUCGACGUCGUGCUGAGUCACAUGGGGGCCAACUACCUUGAGGUGGCUUACACAGACGUCUAGAUAGUGGCCAUCAACGCAAUACAAGCCAUCAUUCCCGGCGCUAGUAUACAGGGACCCUUUUUUUCACUUCUCCCAGUCGGUGUACAGGAAGAUGUACUCUAGUGGUCACCAGAGUCGCUACAAUUCCGAUGAAGAGUUUGCUGUUCUGACGAGAAUGCUUCCAGCAUUGGCCUUCUUGCCAACCACCGACAUUUCCGAGGCCUUCCAGGACCUUCUCGAGGUUUUCCCCACCGAUGCCUCACUCGUGGCGGACUGCUUUGAGGACGUGUAUAUCGCGAGACCCCGUAGAAAAGGGUUGUCGUCGGCCACCUUCCUACUCUGGCUUGGUCAGUCAGAUAAUCAAUACUAGCAGAAAUGCCAAGGACUAACAUCAGCAUCGCUGCGUGGCACCGGGGACUGCAGAACAACGUGGGCUAUAGUUCUCCCAUUAUCUGGGCGUUCCUGGGCUGCAUCAAGAGAGAGCAGUCCUUGACAGAGAUGAAGCUGGCUCAAGCAGAGGGCGGCACGACAUCUCAGAGGGUAUCGAAAAAGCAUGCCGACUGGAACCGGCGUCUUCAGAUCAUUGUGAGCCGCUACGACGGUAGCAAUCAUCUUGAAACCUUGAGGGCGGCAGCUCGGAAUAUCGCUCUUUAAGGUGUUUUUAUUUCGCUCAAUAA